rnacentral:rRNA from 1 species
AAAUUGAAGAGUUUGAUCAUGGCUCAGAUUGAACGCUGGCGGCAGGCCUAACACAUGCAAGUCGAACGGUAGCACAGAGAGCUUGCUCUCGGGUGACGAGUGGCGGACGGGUGAGUAAUGUCUGGGAAACUGCCUGAUGGAGGGGGAUAACUACUGGAAACGGUAGCUAAUACCGCAUAACGUCGCAAGACCAAAGAGGGGGACCUUCGGGCCUCUUGCCAUCAGAUGUGCCCAGAUGGGAUUAGCUAGUAGGUGGGGUAACGGCUCACCUAGGCGACGAUCCCUAGCUGGUCUGAGAGGAUGACCAGCCACACU